rnacentral:rRNA from 1 species
AUUGAACGCUGGCGGCAGGCCUAACACAUGCAAGUCGAACGGUAACAGGAAGAAGCUUGCUUCUUUGCUGACGAGUGGCGGACGGGUGAGUAAUGUCUGGGAAACUGCCUGAUGGAGGGGGAUAACUACUGGAAACGGUAGCUAAUACCGCAUAACGUCGCAAGACCAAAGAGGGGGACCUUCGGGCCUCUUGCCAUCGGAUGUGCCCAGAUGGGAUUAGCUAGUAGGUGGGGUAACGGCUCACCUAGGCGACGAUCCCUAGCUGGUCUGAGAGGAUGACCCGCCACACUGGAACUGAGACACGGUCCAGACUCCUACGGGAGGCAGCAGUGGGGAAUAUUGCACAAUGGGCGCAAGCCUGAUGCAGCCAUGCCGCGUGUAUGAAGAAGGCCUUCUGGUUGUAAAGUACUUUCAGCGGGGAGGAAGGGAGUAAAGUUAAUACCUUUGCUCAUUGACGUUACCCGCAGAAGAAGCUCCGGCUAACUCCGUG